rnacentral:tmRNA from 1 species
AACCUUUUUUCCGCCUUUUUUUGUGGUAUAAGGAGGCGUCGGUGCAAACCGACUAUGGUGAUAAACGCUUUGUGGAAUAGACGCUGCGGACCCGGGGGCGGUACCCGGCGCCUCCACCAUUUUCCUUCCAAUCUUUUGGGGGGAUGAGCAAAGCAGACUGUGGCGAAAAACGUUAUUUUUCGAGACCCGGAGCGCAGCGUACUUGCGUACGUGAGCACCGGAAGCGAGAAAAAGGACGUUUUGCAGCCCAGUAUGCAAAGCGAAUUAUGGGGGCGAAAUAGGAUCGACGCGCGUAGUAAAGACAGAGUUUUUGCCCGGCAUGAUACCGCCGUUAUCGGGUCAUUUUGACAAAUGCCAACGACAAUGUUGACAUGAGUGCAGUAGCUGUUGCUGCCUAACCUCCGCUUUGCGGAAUUAGGGUAGUUUGUUACUCACGCGGUUAGGGGGGCCCCGGGCAACAGAAUGCCCCCCACU